GUUAAAAGUAUUUUUCCGCAAAUGUAUGCUUGUAAUACGUCAUUCUAUAUGUUUUCAUUCAAAUAUUACUGAAAUUUCAUUGAAAUAUUAGAAACAUUUAUGCGUUAAAUCUUCGACCAUAUAAACUGAUAGACACGCCUUACCGCAAGUUAAUAUUCACACAACUUUGAAGCCAACAUCUUUUAGCGCGUGACGUUACGUUUGGGCAUUAAACAAUUUAUAAUAUCGGUUUAGGGUGAAUGUAUUUAACAUUUUUAAAGUUUUAUUAUUUGUUAUGUAUGUUAUUUUGUUUAAAUUUUGAUUUUCAAAUAGAAUAUAGAUAUAUAAAGAUCAUGAUGUUAUCUUGUUUUGCAUAUAAUUGCACUCAAAGAUAUAUUAAAAAGGUUUCUUUUCAUGUUUUUCUGAAAGAUAUGGAAUUGAGGAGAAAAUGGAUACAAGUUAUGUGGAGUGAUGGUUUUACUCCUAGUAAACUGUCUAAACGUUGUGGUAAAUAUUUCACUGGUAUAGAGGAAGUCUUUCGAGUUCACAAAAGAAACUAAAAAAAAAAAUGCAAUUUCUUCUAUAUAUAAUUUCCCAACACUUUUAUGAAAAAGUAUUUAUUCUAGAAAACUACCAAAAAAUAUA